rfam:Triticum aestivum genome assembly, contig: Triticum_aestivum_CS42_TGACv1_scaffold_374809_5AL
GAACUACUCCCUCCGUUCUGAAUUACUUGUUUUAGAUUUGUCUAGAUACGGAUGUAUCUAGACUCAUUUUAGUGCUAGAUACAUCCAUAUCUCGAUAAAUCGAAGACAAGUAAUUUGGAACGGAGGGAGUAGCUG